GACGUAGGAGGCGAGCGUUGUCCGGAUUCAUUGGGCGUAAAGAGCGCGCAGGCGGCUUGGUAAGUCGGAUGUGAAAUCCCGAGGCUCAACCUCGGGUCUGCAUCCGAUACUGCCCGGCUAGAGGUAGGUAGGGGAGAUCGGAAUUCCUGGUGUAGCGGUGAAAUGCGCAGAUAUCAGGAGGAACACCGGUGGCGAAGGCGGCAUCCUGGACCGGCAUUGACGCUGAGGCGCGAAAGCUAGGGGAGCAAACGGG
rnacentral:rRNA from 1 species